GACUACCCGCUGAACUUAAGCAUAUC
rnacentral:rRNA from 1 species